AUACGUAGGGGGCGAGCGUUGUCCGGAUUUAUUGGGCGUAAAGGGUGCGUAGGCGGCCUUGUAAGUCAGAUGUGAAAGAUCAUGGCUUAACUGUGGUAAGCAUUUGAAACUGCAGGGCUUGAGUACAGGAGAGGAGAGUGGAAUUCCUAGUGUAGCGGUGAAAUGCGUAGAUAUUAGGAGGAAUACCAGUGGCGAAGGCGACUCUCUGGACUGAUACUGACGCUGAGGCACGAAAGCGUGGGGAGCAAACAGGAUUAGAUACCCUGGUAGUCCACGCUAUAAACGAUGAGUGCUAGGUGUCGGGGGUCAAACCUCGGUGCCGCAGUUAACACAAUAAGUAUUCCGCCUGGGGAGUACGGCCGCAAGGUUGAAACUCAAAUGAAUUGGCGGGG
rnacentral:rRNA from 1 species